UACGUAGGGACCAAGCGUUGUUCGGAUUUACUGGGCGUAAAGGGCGCGUAGGCGGCAAUUCAAGUCAGUUGUGAAAUCUCCGAGCUUAACUCGGAACGGUCAACUGAUACUGUUUUGCUAGAGUACAGAAGGGGCAAUCGGAAUUCUUGGUGUAGCGGUGAAAUGCGUAGAUAUCAAGAGGAACACCUGAGGCGAAGGCGGGUUGCUGGGCUGAUACUGACGCUGAGGCGCGAAAGCUAGGGUAGCAAACGGG
rnacentral:rRNA from 1 species